GUGCUCACUUCAGCAUCACAUAUACUAAAAUUGAAAUGAUGCAGAGAAGAUUAGCAUGGCCCCUAUGCAAGGAUGACACACAAAUUCGUGAAGCAUUCCAUACUUUU
ensembl:snRNA U6 U6 spliceosomal RNA